rnacentral:rRNA from 1 species
UACGGAGGGUGCAAGCGUUAAUCGGAAUUACUGGGCGUAAAGCGUGCGCAGGCGGUUUGUUAAGUCCGUUGUGAAAGUCCCGAGCUCAACUUGGGAAUUGCAGUGGAUACUGGCAGGCUGGAGUACGGUAGAGGAAGGGUGGAAUUCCCGGUGUAGCAGUGAAAUGCGUAGAUAUCGGGAGGAACACCGGUGGCGAAGGCGGGUCUCUGGGCAG